CAUUCCUGCAGGAGGAAGCAAGGCACAGACGAUGAGCCACACAUGGGAGCAAACUUCAUGCUGUCCCAACUUGAAAAACUGGAUGGGCGCUGCUGUCUGAUGUCCUCGGCCACACCACCUUGCUGGGGCAUGAUGGGAGGUGCAGGAUUUAUUUUCCCUGGUUUAUAACUGCACAGGUGCAUUCCUCCUCUCCAGCACUGAAAUCGGUGAUGAGUUGUAGCUGCUAAAAUGAAAAUGUCAGAAUUCAGGGACCGUAGAUGAAGACAUUCAUCAUGGAGCCCAGGCAACAAUGAGGUCAUGAUUUUAGACUCCUUCCUGAACUUUAUGUGCACAGCCAGAUUCUUCAAGGAGUUCAGGCAAAGUGCAAAUCUAUCCAGAGCUCCUUUAAAACUGGUGUGCUCAACACCCAUCCACCAGUGCACGGCUGGAUCUCCUAUGUACUGCACACACCUAAGUCCUGUCACUCAGAUGCUUUCUUCUAUCCAGUGUGAUAAUAUUUGCAGAUACUUUUGGAAAUACAUUGGUGGAAUGAGCUAAUGAAUUUAAGUCCAGAUGCAGACAAACAAGCAAAAUACACCAGAAAGCAGCAAUAUCAGCCUGCUGGAUGAGAUUCAUAGUGCUUCCCAGGAGGAAAUAUGUCACCAAGCGCUUGCCAGCGACUGUUCUCUCCUUCCCCCAGGUUUGCCGGAUGGUCAUCCUGGCUUUGACAUGGUGGUAUGAGGAUGUCACAAGUAGGACGAGGAAAGAGCUCAAGAUGGGAAGAGUUUCCCCAGAUGCCCCUGAGGCCAGUGGGAGUCCAUGGUCAACAUGGGUGUGACUGCAUUAUCAAAACCAACACCAUCCAACCUAAAGAAUGUUGCUCUACAACAGAGAGAUAAGCAUAGGUUAGGUGUGACAAGGCCUGUGGCUUCCAAACUAACUGUCACUAUAUUUUCCCUCCUUUGCCUGCAUCUGAGAAACAAUACUGUCUGUGAUGCCAGAUUUCCAGCCUGCAUGCACAGAUCUCCAUGAAACAGUCCUGGAGAUGUCAACAUGAAGCGAACAUUAAGUCUACAGGAGGGGGUUCAGAAAGCAGUGGAGACCUGUGAGCAACCAAUCUCUUUUCUAGAGGUCAUUUUGAACAGCAUCCAGUGUUUUAGCAUUGAAACAAAUCUUUGUGGUUUUACAGGAAGUCCUUUUGCAUGAAGUUAUACUUGAGUUGUCUCUCUGAUCUGAGUUAGAAAUUGCAGUUUGUAAUUAUCUCAAAGCUUUUCCCAUCCCCUCUUGUUCCAAUUGCAAAAUGUUUGAUGUAGGACAUAGCCAAAAAGGAAGAUCGGCUAUAGGUUCCCCCUGUUCACACCACUGACCCUUGUGUAACUCCUUCAUGUUGCACAAUGACGGGGCCAUGGUACCUCCUGUGACAAAGCCUAGUUAUUCCAUCAGCAUUGAUGUGACACCUCCUUUAGGUCUGUUAAUGAGUGUCAUUAUCUAAACGGCACCAAGAGAUCAAGACCAUAUGCCAUACAGAUGAGGAAAAGCAAUGUGGCCCGAGGCACAGAGAGGUAAGUAGGUCUAGAGUCCCCCUGAGAAACAGAUUCAAAAUAUCAAUUUAAAGAAAUAGAUUUCUUAAUUUUUCUGGGGCACAGCUACAGCCAUGCCACUGAGUUCAGUGGAUGAUUGGCAUUGGAUUUGCAUUGGGGUCACAUCCAUCAGCCAGGGUACAACCCAAAGCACAACAAACCGAAGCGCUUUUGACCAUCUGCAAGGGCUACCACUCUGUAAACAGAGGCGCAAACAGCUGCAGCAAGGCAGACAUACAAGCAGAGGCAUGACUUAAGUGCACAAACAGGAGUUAUGACCUCAAGUGCUGCAUGGUUAAAGUCAGCAGCAAUACUCCCAUUUUCCUUUCCUAAUACUCAGAAGAAACAUGCCCUGGUAUAAGUACUAAUAAUACCAGCUAACUUUUGAUUUUCCUCAGAAUAAAGCUUCUAAAUUGCUUUCUUAGAAGCUCAGCAGGACAUGAAGGGGGAUUAAAUGUGCGUGGAUAACAAGAAAAUGUCAAAUACAGCAAGAAACAUUUAUUUUCUUCCUAAAUGCAAGCAUUUCAGAGAAGCAGGGGCCAGCUUGGAGCUCUUGAAGAUGGCAUCUCUGGUGAGGCAGUGGGUUCAGCAGUGGCUGGGCUGCUGUUUUUACGAGCAGAGACAUGGGUAGCAGGGUUUCCCCCUAAACCCAAGCUCAGAAGUCAGGGACAGAUAUCCAGGUGCCUCUGGCCCAGUGUCUUUUGGCUGUCCCCCCAACUUCUGGAGCAAGCCGCUGCCUGGUGCCCACCAGACCUUGUCAGAAACAGCAGCACCUGCUCAGGUAUCACACAGGACUACUGAAAACAGUGGUGAUGAACCUCUACUCAAAAUAAAGGGUCACACAGGGACAGGUUACUCUCCCUCAUCCCCUGAAGGCACUGGCUGGCUUGUCCUACCCUGUGUGCUCGGUGGCAUCGUUCCGCAGAGCCUCCCAAGCCAGUGGUGCCAUUUCUGACCGAAAGAACUGCAUGUGAACAGCCACUGAGGCGAUGAGGCUAAAUGUCUCCUUCCUGGCACUUUAAAAUGCCACUUUUCAGAGGGAGGUUUUUACACCAACGUGUAUUAAUAAUGUCGUUGCCCAAACCAAAUGUCAAGACUGGCACACAAGAAGGAUGGAAACCUGUAAAGGGUACAGGACAAGGGAAAAACUUUUGCUGCUGUCCUUACUGUCAGACCACAGAAAACCUGUUUCCCUCUGCUACCUCUCACCAGCUUUUGCUAUCAGGAUUUUCUCUUCUUGUCAGUCUGUCAGCGAGUCAAAGCAAGACAUUGUUCCUCCACUUCAUACGUGCCAGUUUCUAUCAUUUAAAGUCUGAGUUGCUAAGCACUUUAUUUACAGCCAAAUCCCCUCUCUCCCUGUCUUUCUUUCUUCCUUUCUUUCUUCCUUUCUCUCUUUCUCUCUCUUUUCUUUUUUUUUUUUUUUCCCCUCAUUUUUUGUCUCUUUGGCUUUUUGCCUUUUAUUUUUUGCAAUGCUGCUGGCAGGGUUAGCUUUCCCAGCUCCUCCCCAGGCACCACUGCACUACCUGCAACCUGCCAUGAUGGGGUGUGCAUGGGGAGGGGCUCUGAGGGGUGGGUGUUUUUGGUGCCUAAAUAAGCCUCUGGCUCUCCAGAAAGGCCAGAGUGUUUUAUGUCCGGGGAGCUGGCUCUGGGGAGCAGGUGAGCCAUUUGCCCAUGGUCACAGACCCAUGGCAGGAGUCCCCGUCUCCAAACUGUAGGUGAUCAAUUGGACAACACAUAAAAAAAGAGCAUUACUGUUACUGAUUUGCAAAUACUACUACGUUGCCUGGCUUAUGCUCUGUAAUCAUGUUAUUAAUACCCAUUUAGCUGAUUGACCCUGUCACUUUAACAGCAGAUUGAAUCUUCUUUGUAGAAGGUUGGACUGACUUUAUUUAUGGCUUUGCAUUUUAAUAAGAAAAUAAACAAAAUAAUUUUAAAAAAAAACAAGAGUGGAAAAAAGUCAGGUUUUAAAUUUAAUAGUUCUAGGGGAAAAAAAGCAUUAAUUGGAGCGGUAUGUUAAAGUCUGGAUUAAUAUUAAUCCCAAUGAGAUGCCAUGCAUAUAUACACAAUACGGAUGUACAAUGAUAUAUGCAUACAACUGUAUUGUUUUUAGCAGCAUGACCAACACAGCCUAAACACUGGUAUCAUUAUAAUAAGCAAAGAAACUUUCUUCCCAGCAGUCAAUGAAAAACCAUGACAAAAAAUGAGACUUUGAAAUAUAAAAUUAGUUAAAAUCCAGUAAUAGAGUAAGAGUUCCUAAGAGAUUCACCUCCUUGUCCCGGAUGUCCUUCCCUCGUGCUACGACACAGAUGGAUUCAGAGGAGCCACCUGACCCAACGCAACUCUUUCAUCUUACCUCUUCGAAGAAAAAUUUCCACCAUUUUCUCCUCUGAAUCAUGUUUUCUGUACUGCAGAAGGCAUUGUUUUGGUGGUUUUCCACAACACCAGCAUACACAUACAAACAUAACCUUAACACAGCAGCUCUCUCAGAGGCAGCGCACAGGCAUAGGAGGAGCCUCACAUGCAACAUUCACCCAUUAAAAAGGUGCAUCUUUAUUAUUACAAGGGAAAGAACAGACAUUCAUGGGUCUCAUCCACUCAAAUACACAGUCUUUCCGGUUCAGAUACAGAAGUGUCACCUCAGGUGUGGAGGUUUUCAUUACUAAAAUGCUUGCAACAGCCCAGACAAGAGGCCCAUGUGGCCUCUGGGUUCUGUCUCUGAGACUACCCAGGCAGCCGAUGCCUAAAGGAGAAUAAAGACCAUGGUAAGUGUAUUCUCGCAGAGAGAAGGCGUUUAUGGCACAGGGAUCUUCUGAAUCAGAGACUGCAACUUCCUCUUUAUUUAAAAAAAAUUCAAGAGCCAUUAGUUCUUGAUGCACCUUGGUCUCAUCCACCCAACCAUGAGCACUUGCUCAUAACAUUCGUUUGGAAAAGCCAAACAGCAUCCUCAGACCAAAAUGCAGUUUUGCUCUCAAAACCAGCAAAAAGUUUGGCAGGAUGUGGAGCUGCUCCCGUAACGUCACAGGAAAGAAGUGCUACAUAUGAAGAGUCAAAAAGAAAUGUAUUUCUGGGGACUUUAGCCAACUCAGGAAAGCUUGCUUCUAUUUUAAAAUAUCAUUUUGCUUUUCCAAGCUGCCUGCAAAAUUCUCUUGAUGAAUCCUGGCCCUAAAAAGCCCACCAAAAUGUCAGCUUGGAUAUUUAGUAAGGCCACAUCCCUUUUCCAGGGAGAAGAAAGAUAUUGCACCGGAGGUUGCGACAUGGGCUGUCAGGCACCUGGUUGCAAAGUUCAGAGUAUCAACACAGAGAAAAUGUACAGGGCAGCCGUUACAGUCCAUCCCCUGGUGCAGGUGCUUUUUGUCCUUUUUAGUGGCAUAUUCAGACAGUUUUGACUUAAUCCAUUUCUACAGGCAAUUCAAACACAACUUGCAGGCACCCAGCAAAGAGGCAUACUCUCUUGCAGGCAGAGAAAACAGGAGUGCCUCUGGGCCACUCCCUCCUUGCUCUCCCAGAAGGACUUCUCAUCUUGGAAGUCAUUUUUUUCAAACAUUCAGCCUAAAAGUCUUCCUUUCUGCUUCUGUCUCCCCUUCACCCCCUGCGUACCAAACGCCCCUUUCCAGGUUUCUCUUCAAUGCUAAUAGACUUGCUUCUUCUAAUGCUCCCCCUAUUCCUACAACACCUCCAUCUUCCUUUUAUCACCGAUGCUCAUGAGCAUAUUUAACUUUUUUAAGAAUUGCCUCGUGAAUCAGCAAUUUUACUACAAUUACUAUUUUACUUGCUGUAUUCCAAACUCCGGAUAUCACCAAAGAUAUGCAAUUGUCCAUGACGGGAUGAAACGAAGCAGCCUUAACCAGUAUAAACCCAUGUUAUUCCUGGUGCUGAAUAGGAGCAAAAUCCAACUCACAGCCACUCCCUUACCUUCAUAAAUAAAUAAAGCAAUGAGAAAAAUUCUUCUUUAAACUCUUGCUGCCAAUGCUGACUCCAAAAGCCUGGUUCUCUGAGCUAUAGGAGCAUUGUGCUUCAAUAAUUGUAGGCACGGCGUUUGUGUCCCCC